rnacentral:rRNA from 1 species
CCUACGGGUGGCAGCAGUGAGGAAUAUUGGUCAAUGGUCGGGAGACUGAACCAGCCAAGCCGCGUGAGGGAGGAAGGUCCAGAGUAUCGUAAACCUCUUUUGUCAGGGAACAAAAACUGGGACGCGUCCCCGGAUGCGUGUACCUGAAGAAAAAGCAUCGGCUAACUCCGUGCCAGCAGCCGCGGUAAUACGGAGGAGGCGAGCGUUAUCCGGAUUUAUUGGGUUUAAAGGGUGCGCAGGCGGCCUGUUAAGUCAGCGGUCAAAGCUCGGGGCUCAACCCCGGCCCGCCAUUGAAACUGGGAGUCUCGAGUUGAGGAGAAGUAUGCGGAAUGCGCGGUGUAGCGGUGAAAUGCAUAGAUA